UACGUAGGUGGCAAGCGUUGUCCGGAUUUACUGGGCGUAAAGAGCGCGCAGGCGGUCGUUUAAGUCGAAUGUGAAAGCCCCCGGCUCAACUGGGGAGGGUCAUUCGAUACUGAUCGUCUUGAAGGCAGGAGAGGGAAGUGGAAUUCCGGGUGUAGUGGUGAAAUGCGUAGAUAUCCGGAGGAACACCAGUGGCGAAGGCGACUUCCUGGCCUGUUCUUGACGCUGAGGCGCGAAAGCUGGGGGAGCAAACGGG
rnacentral:rRNA from 1 species